GGAAACGACGGCGAUGCACAAAAGAACUCAAACACAAUGCAUUCACCGCGGAGGAAGAGACGACGUCGUCGUGGUGUAGUGGCGGGUGCAGCCGGCAAUCGAGACGCGCGCACCCGGACUGUAUCGUAUGGUGCGAAUAACCGCACGAGGCACGAAGACGAUGUUUUUAGAUUCCGAACUGAACAGAGUAUUUUACGUAUUGGUUUUGCUGUGAUUCGCGCACGUGUGUGUGUUAU